AUGAACGCUGGCGGCGUGCCUAAUCCAUGCAAGUCGCGCGAACGGACGAGAAGCUUGCUUCUCUGAUGUUAUCGGCGGACGGGUGAGUAACACGUGGAUAACCUACCUAUAAGACUGGGAUAACUUCGGGAAACCGGAGCUAAUACCGGAUAAUAUUUUGAACCGCAUGGUUCAAAAGUGAAAGACGGUCUUGCUGUCACUUAUAGAUGGAUCCGCGCUGCAUUAGCUAGUUGGUAAGGUAACGGCUUACCAAGGCAACGAUGCAUAGCCGACCUGAGAGGGUGAUCGGCCACACUGGAACUGAGACACGGUCCAGACUCCUACGGGAGGCAGCAGUAGGGAAUCUUCCGCAAUGGGCGAAAGCCUGACGGAGCAACGCCGCGUGAGUGAUGAAGGUCUUCGGAUCGUAAAACUCUGUUAUUAGGGAAGAACAUAUGUGUAAGUAACUGUGCACAUCUUGACGGUACCUAAUCAGAAAGCCACGGCUAACUACGUG
rnacentral:rRNA from 1 species